ACUCAAAUGAAUAGACGGGGGCCCGCACAAGCGGAGGAACAUGUGGUUUAAUUCGAUGAUACGCGAGGAACCUUACCUGGGCUUAAAUGUGCUCUGACUACUGGUGAAAGCUGGUUUUCCGCAAGGACAGAGUACAAGGUGCUGCAUGGUUGUCGUCAGCUCGUGCCGUGAGGUGUCGGGUUAAGUCCCAUAACGAGCGCAACCCUUAUUGUCAGUUGCUAACAGGUUAAGCUGAGGACUCUGGCGAGACUGCCACCGUAAGGUGAGAGGAAGGCGGGGAUGACGUCAAAUCAGCACGGCCCUUAUGUCCAGGGCUACACACGUGUUACAAUGGCCGAUACAGAGGGCAGCGACUACGCGAGUAGGAGCUAAUCCGAUAAAGUCGGUCUCAGUUCGGAUCGGAGUCUGCAACCCGACUCCGUGAAGCUGGAUUCGCUAGUAAUCGCGCAUCAGCCAUGGCGCGGUGAAUACGUUCCCGGGCCUUGCACACACCGCCCGU
rnacentral:rRNA from 1 species